rnacentral:rRNA from 1 species
UACAGAGGUCUCAAGCGUUGUUCGGAUUCAUUGGGCGUAAAGGGUGCGUAGGCGGCGCGGUAAGUCGGGUGUGAAAUCUCGGAGCUUAACUCCGAAACUGCAUUCGAUACUGCCGUGCUUGAGGACUGGAGAGGAGACUGGAAUUUACGGUGUAGCGGUGAAAUGCGUAGAUAUCGUAAGGAAGACCAGUGGUGAAGGCGGGUCUCUGGACAGUUCCUGACGCUGAGGCACGAAGGCCAGGGGAGCAAACGGG